rnacentral:lncRNA from 1 species
GGAAGGUGAUCUAAGCAGAAAAGGACUGGGUCAGCCAUUGCUAAUAUCUGUAGCACUUAAGAUGCAUGAGUUAGGUAUGGGUGUGCCUUUCCUAAGAGGGAUAGAAUUAACUGAAUUUUACUAAAGGAGAAGUUCUCAGAGCAGCUGAUCACUCAAAAACUGGUACUAUAGGUGUUUCCAGUAAAGAGGCAUAUGCUUGACCUUCCAGUCAGUGUAAUUGAAGAGUGCUCCACUGACCCAAAUCAGCUUCCCAGUGCUGAGCUGAAAAUGAAUAUACUGCCAAAAAUCUGGUAAAGUGCUACUAGAAAUGAAACAAAUGACAGCACAAGCUCACACACAUAUUUUACUACUGAUGGACCCAAGGCACUAUGACAGCCUUCAGAUGUUUAUCCUGAUGAUUCAAGGAGCACAAACAUUCAGACCUCAGAUUUUAUUUCAGCUUGUUCUAAAGAUGGGGAUUAGCCAGCCAAACCAUUAAUUGAAACAAAGAUAGAUGGCAAAUCACUGCUGAAAUCCUCCUUCAUGUCACUGGAAAUUUAUAGCGCUCUUCACAAACUCCUUUGGAAGAGGACAGAGUUAUAACCUGACUGAGCUGCUCCCAGCACUUGGUUGUUGCCAUUUGUUUCUUUGCAAUGCUUCUUUGCAACUGAUAUACUCCUUUAUUUCCUGACUGGAAAGGCAAGAGAUUGGUGUUUAUUACACAUUAUUUAUGUAGCAUCUCUUUAAAAAAUAAAAAUUAAAAAACAAAAUGCA